CUCCUAUCACUUGUCGAACUUUACCCUGCCCAACUUUCUUUCCCAGCUAUCUGCCGACUACUACCAUCAGUCUGAAGAAGGGUCCUAACCUGAAACGUCACCCGCCGAUGUCUUUCUACGGAUGUUGCGUGGAAAGCAUUUUAUCGGUGUGCAUCAAUUCAUUGUUUUGGAACAGCUCCGUUCAAGACUGCAUGCAAUUGCAGAGAAUUGUGGACGCAGGCCAGACCAUCACACAAACUGAUCCCCACUCCAUUUAAACCUAGGCAACGCCAGCAGCAUAAUCAAGGACCAGUCGACCCUGGCCACUCCCUCUUCUCCCGUCUCCCAUCUGACAAAAGGGAGCGACCAGAUCAGACCAGGCACAGAAGCUGGAGAGAACACAGUUCCCACCAGAGUGAUAAAACAGAAAGCUACAACUUGGAUGAGAAUAAGGAGGACCUGGUAUGUUCAUCUCUUUGCUUGUAGAGCUACUUCAAUAAAGAAUCAGUUCAACUGGAAA